rnacentral:pre_miRNA from 1 species
GAGGGAAAUCUGUAAAGCUCAGGAGGGAUAGCGCCAUGGAUGACGACAGCUGUUUAAGCUUUCUUUCUCUCUCUCUAGCGCUAUCCAUCCUGAGUUUUAUUGGUUUUUCGG